rnacentral:lncRNA from 1 species
AGAGUGUAGCCUUUCUGAUUGACUGGACCCUCGCCCAGCAGGAUUCGGGCAACUUCUUGCAUAGCACCCCGCGUACCCAGGGGCCCAGGUGGGUGCUCGCCCGCUUCCAGUACGUGGGCUGCGGCCUGCAGGGCUUCCUCUGUAGAGCCAAAGACUUGCUGGGCUCCCAGGGCCCCAGAAACAUCGAGCAGGGUGGCACAGAAGUCAGAGAGUAGCGCGUCGUCGUCCCCUCCAUGAUACAGGGCGAGAGUAUGAGCGUAGGCGAACAGCACGUUGGGCAGCUGGAAGCGCACCAGCGGCGAUGCCGGGCUGCGGCUCAGACUGGCCAGUGCUGGGAUGCGAGCAGGCAAUGCUAGCGGUCUGGCGGCACAGGAGUCUUCAGCAAAUGGCUCUGCGGCAGCGGCAUCAUCCCCAGAUUGCAGCGCGGUCCUCGCAGGGGCGGGCUCCGGCUCCGCAAGAUCUCUGUUCGCGGCAUGAUCCAGCUCCUCCAGCAAACGUGGGCCGGUGCCGCGGCCCCACCACCAGGGCCGCCACGGAGGCAGAAGGCGUCCGGCUUCGCCACGGCUCAGCAGCCGCUCGAACGCCGCCUUCUCAGCCGGCGUUAAACGUUCCCAAAGUCCAGAAAGGCCGCCCGGCCGCGCCCCGGGCCCGAGGCCUGCUUCCUCGGGCUCAUCCUCGGCCUCGCGUUGUUCGCGCAGCCGGCGUAACGCGCCCGCCAGACGGCUGGGCGAAGCGCUUCGGCCACGGAGCUCUCGCAGCACUUGGUCGCGGUAAAAGUCUUCGGCGCAGGCGCCGUGCGCCCGGUAGCAGCGCAGCGAGCAGUAGGGAGCAUUGCAGCGCGGGCAGGUGUAGCGCGCAGGCAGCGCUUCCCCGGCCGGGCAGAAGCCGCAGAGCCCAGCGGGCUCCAUGGAAACUGGUGCCGCCUGUCCCGUAUCAGCUCCGCCACUUCCGGCGCUUCUUUGGUUAUUUCCGCCUUUAUGUGUGGGGGUGGUUGGCGGGCGUGGCCUCCUUUCCGCACAUUUCCGAAACUUCUCGGUAACUUUCGUGUCUCCAGUACUUCUUUGAGCAAGCGCAGAAGUCGUCCAAACUCUUCCAAAGGAACAGGUUUGCUCGCCGAAUUUGGGAAAAUCAUGUCGCUAAUCCCAGUUUGUUCUUUAUGGUUGUACCAAAUUGUACAAAAAUAAACUACCUUUUAAAUAA